AGGACGAACGCUGGCGGCGUGCUUAAAACAUGCAAGUCGAACGGGAUCCAGCCUUCGGGCGAAGAUCUAGUGGCGAACGGGUGAGUAACACGUGAGCAACCUACCCCAGAGACCGGGAUAAGCGAGGGAAACUUCGUCUAAUACCGGAUAACCUCCUUCCCCUACUAAGGGAUUGAGCAAAUGGUUUUUCGCUUUGGGAUGGGCUCGCGGACUAUCAGCUUGUUGGUGGGGUAAUGGCCUACCAAGGUCUUCGACGGUUAGC
rnacentral:rRNA from 1 species